AGCUAAACAGUGGAGCUCAGGCUUCACAAGUCACAUUCUCCUCAGUUUCUAUUUUCUUGGUAUGGAUGUAGAAUUUCUGAGUGGAUUUGGGCUUGGAAGAGCCUCCAAAGCCCAGUGGCCCUGACCUAGCUGUAGACUCCACCAGCCUAGGACCCUAUAAUAGACCCAGGUGAAUAGAAGUUGUAUGUUGACAACAGUGGAUGCUGGGAGGAGGCAGGGAAGAACCAAGGCUGCGCCGUGGCCAGGUGACCUUGGGGACGAGUAUGUGUUUGACUUUUGUAGUUCUCUGCCCGACUCAGCCAGAAUUUGUUUGAAAACCAAAACCAGAUGCUGCCUCUGAGAUCUGCUUGAGGGCUGAAAAUAAAUUAGGAAAAGAAGGUUCCAUGCAGGGAGGCAGCAUGCAGAAAAGCCUGAUUAAGACCAUGGCACAGAAGGAGAGUCACCCUGUCCAGAGGGGCUGGACACAAGAGGCCUGGAUCAGGAGGAUGCGUAGCCCUUUGCCUGGCUUUCCCCUUUUAGCAGUUGUGCUACCAGCUAAAUGAGAUCUUGGCAAAGAAAGACGUGUCCAGUCCUGAUAGGCGAGGAAGAAAAGCGGGGCUGGGCAGGCUGGUGAUGGGCUUGUGUUCAGUGUGCGAGGCAGGAUUCCAAGGCGGCCUCCAACAUUCCUGUACUCUGGUGCAAUGGAUGCUGGCAACUGCAGGUGUAGGGAGUUCUGGUGUACCUUCUUUAGACACCCCUCUUCAGAGCAGGCAUGUCAAACCCCCAUGCUGGGAGUAUUAGUUGCUGAAGGCUCACAGCUGUGUCCCUCACUAAUCAUUGCCCCAGCCACAGGGAUCUUGCACACCCAUGGAUUCCCCUUCCAGACUUUGCAGGGAUACAAAGGCCUGGCCUCCUGCCUCAAUUGGGGAUGAUUUGGGUCAUCCCAGCUCCAGAGGUGUCUGUAGGGGUUGGCUGAGGUCUCAGUCCAAACUACAUUGUGAGUCACCUCCCACUGCUCAGUCCUGCCUUCCUCAUGCCCUUACAGAUCUAUGUCCCAAGAGUUCUCCCCAGUGAACCUUUUCCAUGUAACUCCCUGGCUCAGAGUCUGUUUCUGGAAAGCCAACCUAAAGCCACAUAUAUGAGUUAGCAAGACAGGUGCUCAACAUCCCUAAUCAUUGGGGAAAUGCAAAUCAAAACCACAGUGAGAUAUUACCUCAUACCUCUUGGGACGACUGUUAUCAAUAGGACAAGAUGUAAUAAGUGCUGGCAAAGCUAUGGAGAGGUUGAAGGUGGCCAACAGUAAAAGAUGGGUACGGAAGACAUGAUCAAAUACGCCCUUAAUGAAGAUGACCAAUGCUGCAGGGUGGAUUGGACCUACUGGACCUAUUGGAUGAGUCAUCGCAUUCUAGCUUCCCAGGGUGGCCCACCUCAGCCACGCACGAGUAGACAUGGGGUCCUUAGGGGCAGGCUGAGUGGCGCUGCCCAGAAUGACUGGGAGACCAGAAGCCUGGGCAGAGCCAUGGCUGAGGAAGUGAAUGGAAGGCUGUCUGAGAUGAGAAAGCCCAGCUCAAGGGGCAUCGGAAGGCUGCCCUGCAGCAGUAAAGGCCUUAAGGAUGGAUCCCAACCAAGGACACAGCCUCGGCUGUGUUCUUACUUCGUGUGUAAGGAACGAGCCAGGCCAAGCUCUUUGUCAGUAAUGGAUUGUAAUAGCUCUGUUCCUAUGGAAGGAAUCAAUAUAUUUCUAGAGUUUUAUAUUAUCAUAUAUUAUCUAUAAAUUAGGUAAUAUUAUGAGAGUACUUGGUAAAUGGAAAAAAAAAGAGCUGUACGGAUGAAAGGUAUUAUGUCUUCUUCUGUGGUAUUUAUGUGAGUGAGCCAGUGGGGAUGACUGUGUUCUGGAAACUGUAAAUCCCUGUACGAAUGAGAAGCCGCACGCUUAGGUAUUUCACAUGGUGCCUGAGGCAGGUGGGUCCUGGCUUCCAUCCUGCAAGGGCAGCUCUCCUCCAGCGGAAUGAGCGAUGCGUGCAGAGCAAGUGGGCUGAGAUCUCAUGACGCGCCAUUCACGGAGAGCUGUGGAAUAACAGUAUUCAAGCUGAGCAAUUGGCAGAGAGUAAAUUAAGGGGAAUGAAAUUCCUGUAACAGAUCCUGGGAGGAGGGAGGAGGAAAAAGGAGGAGGCAGGUAGAAAUUUUUAACAAUGCCUGCCUCUUGCCAUAGUCUGCUGCAUGAGGAAAAGUGUAGUGGGACUCAGAAUCAGGGAGUGGGAGUGCCCUCUGGAUGCUAUGUCAGGGUGACAUGCUAACAAGGGGCUCAAAAGAGCCCUAACCUAAGGUAGCCCUAAUGCAGAUGCUGUGAUGGCUGGAAGAUACGGCGGAUGCUCAGGAACUCCUUAAACAUUCACACUUGCUUCGCCCAGGAUGAGGCUGGUCCUCAAGGACACUGGGCUUUAAACAGAGUCUCACUGUCCAGGGUGAAAAAUAUCCCUUCUGUUGGGUGGCUCAACAGGUGUCUUUAAUAUCUAACAUCAUGGCAAUUAUAGCUGUCAUUUUCCAUUUAACCAGUGCUGCGUGAUUGGCCCUUUUGCAGGCUGGGUGCUAGGCACUGUACCUGCAUCACUUCUUUAUCUCGUCCAUUACUGCAAGUAGGUGCUGCUGAUGCCUGUUUUAUAGCUAUGGACACCAAGGCUUCAAGAGGGUGGAUAACUCAUCCACCCCAGUGGAGGAGGCAGGUCAGCAGUGAACACAGCUCACUGGAAUCAACGCUUCAUGCAGCUACCAGCAUCUUGCAGCCCCUGCUACCCUGUCCUGUCUACAGAUCCUUCCAUCCUUGACCCAAGUGCUCACUCAACCCUCACUCUGCAGUUUCAGCACCGGCUCUGGCCUUGGCUGCUGGUCUGCAGGAAUGCUGAGGACUUGGGAACACAUCUUGCCCUGACAGAGGACACCCCAGGCCCUGCAGGAUCAGUCCCCGCUCCUCUGACCAGGACAAGUGAGCCAGCCGUGGGGCCUCUACCUCUCAGAAAGGAGAAGGUUCUGUCACAAAAAUUUUCCAAGCUUCAGAGAAGCUGUCAGGGUUGUGUGGGCAGAACUGUGUCCCUCCAGGGAUUCAUAUGUUGAAAUCCUAACCCCACAUCCCUUCAGAAUAUGACUGUCCUUGGAGAUAAGGUCUUUAAAGAGGUGACUAAAUUAAAAUGAGGUCUGAAUCUGGAGUUCCCGUCAUGGCUCAGAGGAAACGAAUCUGACUAGCAUCCAUGAGGACACAGGUUCAAUCCCUGGCUUCGCUCAGUGGGUUAAGGAUCCAGUGUUGCCAUGAGCUGUGGUGUAGGUCGCAGGUGCAGCUGGGAUCUGACGCUGCUGUGGCUGUGGCCUAGGCCGGUUUGACCCCUAGCCUGGGAACCUCCAUAUGCCACGGGGGUGGCCCUAAAAAGCAAAAAUAAAUAAAUACAUAAAUACGUAAAUACAUAUUUAUAAAAAUUGGGCCCAAAUCCAGUAGGAUCUUAUAAGAAGAGACUGGGACAGACAUAUAUGAGGGAAGACGUUAAUGGAGACCCAGGGAGGAGUGAGCCAUCUCUAAAGCCAAGGAGGGAGGCCUGGAGGCCACGUUUCCCUCACAGCCCUCACACGGAGUCAGCUCGGCUGCCAGCUUGAUCUCGGAUUUGCAGCCUGCACCACGAGGAGAAAAUAAAUCUCUGCUGCCCAGUCUGAGUGCUUUGUUUGAGCAGCCCCAGCUGAGGAAUACAAGUGUCACUUCCCACCCUCCCCAGCUGCUCCUGCUUUCCCCGCCACAGCUCUGUUCCCUCCCAGCCACUGCUUGGUGAUCACCAGACCUGGGCUGACAGGUCUGGAUCCUCACGUGGUUCAGCAGGGGCCUCCUUGCUCCCACCCUCUUGCCUGCUGUGUUAAUUCUGCUUCUCUAAGCGGAGGAAUGUGCCUCUCCCUCAAAUUUGUAGUUUGAAGCCCUAACCGCCAAUAUUCAGAAUGUGACUGUAUUUGGAGCCAGGGCCUUUAAAGAAAUAAUUAUGUUAAAAUGAGGCCAUUAAGAUGAAUUCUAAUCUAUCUGACUGGUCCUUACAAGAAACGAUGAAGACACACAGAGGGGCACCAGGGGUGCACACAGUCCAGCUGUUCCAGGCCGCCAGGGGCCAGAGGCUGAACUUGUCUGACCCCAGUCCUGCUCACGAUGCCCCAGACCAGCCAGUGAAGCUGACAGGGAGGAGCUCCAGGCUAAUCAAGUUGAGAAACUGCAAGAGACAGAGAGAGAGAGUAAGCAAGACCAUGUGAAGAGGGAGUGAGAAAUCGGCUGUCUGCAAGCCUAGGAGAGAGACUUCUGAGGAUACCAAUCCUGCCAGCACCUUGAUCUUGGACUUCUAGCUUCCAGAAAUGUGAGAAAAUAGAUUUUUCUUGUUAGAGCCACACAAGGUAAAAUAGAUUUUUCUUGUUAGAGCCACACAAGGUAUGAUCACUUACUAUGGCAGCCCUAGCAAACUAAUACCAUCCUCAUAACACGCAAUGAGGUAUGAAAUAUUAUCAGCUCCACUGUCACUUAUUUGUUCCUUUGAUGCAAAUUUUAUAGGUGCCCACACUGCCCAGAAUUGGGUUAGGUGCCAAGGGUGUAUUGGUGAAUGAGAUAAAGUCUCUGACCUUGGGGAGCUUGUCUGAAUGGCAGACAGACAAGUAAACAGACCCUCACAGCACAGCAGGAGUGUUAUGUGUACCAGGAUGGGCAACGUGCAGCCCACAAGACCUUCAUGGUACUAAAGGUGAUGGAGCCAAGUCUGAAUGGGACAAAUGUAAAAUCUCCAAGGAGGUCCGUUGCUCAGUGUCUGCAGAGCCCUUGUCUGUGCUCCGUGGAUGAAGAUAGCUAGCUGAGCGGCUCCCUCCUCUGCAGUGGCAGAGGCACCCCUGCUGGUGUGUGGGAACACAAGACAAGGAUGGACAUGCUGGAUGAUGCACCCCGUACAUUACAUAAGUUAUCUGAUAUCAGCACCCGAUGGAGUAUGAGAGUCUUCCUGCCUGUCUGUCCGGCCCCAUGUCUGGCCCUGACCUUCCCUUCCUGACCCCUUCACAUCCCACUGCUGAUACACAGCCCAUGCUUCAAGCUUGUACAACCCCUACCUAGCCCAUGCCCUUCCAUGUC
ensembl:lncRNA